UAGAGCAUCAAUGCAUUUAUUUGCUUCACGAAAACAGAAAUUCAUCUUCAAUUAAAGAAUUUGACUUGCGAGGGUCUUGCAAUCCAAAAUAAAAGAAUCAUGAAAGAAGACAUCUCACCCAAGGCUUUCCUCUUUUCAUAUUCAUCCAGUGAGCAUGGUCCACAAAAUCUACCAGUCCAAACUUUUAGCUUGGUUCAGACAUGGGAGCAAGGAAUGGUAGUUUUUUAGAAUCUUUAUUAGGGGUUGGAAUCAGAGGUAGUGGGACCCUUCAAAGUCCUAGAUAAGGAGAGAGAUGGGCUCAAUUUGAAGCCUUCAAAAGCGCUCGACAUCUCUAUUGGUCUACUUAGAUUCUUUUUUUUUUUUUUUUGCUGAAUAUUGGUCUACUUAGAUUCAGUUAUAUAUAUUCACACAGUUGACAAACAACGUCGGUUUCUCUUUUGGGUAACCAACGAAGGUUGUUCUGCUUGGCUUAUCUCCUGUGUCUGGUCUUUACCACAACUCCAGCAGUUCGAUAGGACUAACUCUCUUUCAUUUCACGGGAUGGCAAUAAGGCUGUGCAUGGACUAGCUCAAUAUGCUAGAGGUCUUUCAAACUUUAGUGCUUGGAUAGAUGAAACACUAUUUAUUAUUGAGCAUUUGGUUACUCAAGACGUACUGUUUUUAUCCUCGUCUGAAUAAAAUAAAAAGUGAAUGAUAAAGUUUGGUAGGAUAGGAUAUCACAAGCAUGAUAAAAAUUAUCUCCAGUGUAUUGCUUUUGAGUUUUAAGUAUAUAUAGGCACUUGUCUAGCUUCCUUGCGUCUUUAUAAUUUUUUUUUUUUUUUCGAAACAUAAAUCUCUUGUGCUUAGUUUUUUUCUUUUAGGGAGGUUUUAUAUAUCCAGGGACUAUAUUCUAACGAAAAGAUCGAAGUAUUCAACAAAGCUAUGCAAUGGCAGAUGCAGCCAAAGACAGAAUAGUGUGCAAAGCAACAGGUAGGGCUGGCUACAUGUCCGCCUUGCGUUGGUGGUCAAGCAAAAGCACCUACAUCCAGACUGUGGCACUAGUCUGAAGCAAGUCCAAGGAAAACAAGAAGUGCUUGUGGAGGGAGUUCCACGAGUGCCAAAAUUGAGGGGACUAGUGGUUAGGACUAGAGAACCGGAAAUUGUCAUUGGUGGGGCCCUUACAUGGUGUUUCUUCAGUUCACAGCUGUUCCUAUUUUAUUUAUUUUUUUUUUUUUUGCUGAAUAGUUCACACCUGUUCCUAUAAGCACUUGGAUUGUCACUCCUCAAUAACUUGGCCUUGAUUGCUAUUUCUGUUUUGUAAUUAUUAUACUCGUCUUAUGGUUUU